UCAAAUAAUCAAACCUUCUUUCUCUAUACCCGUUUCUUCCUCCCCAAACUCUUCUCUCUCUUUUCAGUCCCUUUCUUCUGCCUCUCCCUCUUCCUCUCUAAGCAUCUGAUCUAACUACUUGAUAUUAACUUCCUCUUUUAUUUCUAUUUCGUACAUUAGUCUGUAUAAUUUUUUCCCUCUGCUUUUUUCCCCUGUUUUUCAUCGCUUCUUUCUCUUUACUACUAUCUAUCUCCCACUCUCCUCCCUCUUCCACUAACCCAUUAUCCUUUUGCAAUAACACCUCAUUUACCUCUCCUUCUUUUCAAGCCCAUGAUUUCAAGUGCGACUUUUCUUUGCCACCAUGGUUGCGAUUGUGGCUUUGAGAUGAUUAAAAAUCGUGCUUACUAUUUGGGAAAGAUCUGUUGCAACAAUAGUUGGGACUAGAGGAUCAAAAUAGGUAAUUUGGAAGUUAGCAUUUCACCUUACUCUCCCUCUAGAGUUUCAAUUUAUUGGAAGUUUCCAUUAAUCAAGGUUCAUUCUUUUCAUUUUAGAGUUUACAUUUAUCAAAGAUGUUUUUGUUUCCUUUCAUAUUUUGCCUUUGACGUUUUGGUUUUGUUUUUUUUUUUGGUACAAAACAGGUUAAAAAACCAAAAAUCCAAAAGACUAAGGCCUCAAGAAAAGAGUGCUACGAUAAUCCUCUGAUAACAAGGGGAUGUAUGGAGGGACAUGUGUCAUGUACUUCCUGCAGAGAUUGUAAAAGCAGCAUUGCUACCUAAAUAUUGGGUUAUGCGAGAUCAGAAAAACGAGAUAUUUUACUGUGAAUUGGUUUGAAACUCAAUGAGAUUCUGAGUGCACCUUCAAGAAUGGGUGGAGGAAAUUCAUCAAAGCUAAUAACUAUUGAGAAUCAUUCUGUUUGGUUUGGACUUCAUAUAGAUGAUCCACAUGUUAUUCAUGUUGGAGUCCUGAACCAAUUAAUUUCGUAAAAGAAUUUCCUACAUUUGGAUCCAAUCAUGGGAAUUUUUGCAGUUGUGUUUUUAAUUUAUCUUGGUGGUUAAAAAUUGGAUAAAUUGGAUUUUAAAUCCAACAAUUUUGUGUGCUGCCCUGGAAUGUUGUAUUUUUCCACCAAAGAUAUC